rnacentral:rRNA from 1 species
AUUGAACGCUGGCGGCAUGCCUUACACAUGCAAGUCGAACGGUAACAGGUCUUCGGAUGCUGACGAGUGGCGAACGGGUGAGUAAUACAUCGGAACGUGCCCGAUCGUGGGGGAUAACGAAGCGAAAGCUUUGCUAAUACCGCAUAAGAUCUACGGAUGAAAGCAGGGGACCGCAAGGCCUUGCGCGAACGGAGCGGCCGAUGGCAGAUUAGGUAGUUGGUGGGAUAAAAGCUUACCAAGCCGACGAUCUGUAGCUGGUCUGAGAGGACGACCAGCCACACUGGGACUGAGACACGGCCCAGACUCCUACGGGAGGCAGCAGUGGGGAAUUUUGGACAAUGGGCGAAAGCCUGAUCCAGCCAUGCCGCGUGCAGGAUGAAGGCCUUCGGGCUGUAAACUGCUUUUGUACGGAACGAAAAGACUCUUUCUAAUAAAGAGGGUCCAUGACGGUACCGUAAGAAUAAGCACCGGCUAACUACGUGCCAGCAGCCGCGGUAAAAC